CAUGCCCACCUAACUCAAAUAUAUAUGAAAUUCCCUUGCAGCUGCAGUUGCUUUUUUCGAAGCUUUCAGAUUCUGGGUGAUUUUUUAGUCUAUAAUAAACUGAAUUUGACAGGAACUUUGAGGAUGGCCCCUAUUGGGAUAAAGAGAAAGAGUUGCCAUAAACCAAGGAGAUGCAUUGUUCUGAAACAUUUCUCAAAAUUUUAUCAUCAAAUACCUGCAAAAACAGCCACAUUUUCUGAAAUUUCUUGCAGCAAAGCCAGUGCAGAUUGGUCGUAAAAUUGAUUUUCUACUAGCAAGUCUAAGUUCUAAUAUAUGAGCCCCCUUUAACUUAGUGAUUUUUUGAGAAUAAAGCAAAUAUGCAAUGACUGUUAGUAUUUUUUGUCAAGGAUUUAUCUAUUAGUGAUGAUAUUGAACUUGUGUGCCUUUUCUUUCUUUCUUUUUUUCCUUUUUUUUUUAGGUGUUUGUUGAUUGUUUUUGGGUUGUUUGAUUGGUCCAGGAAUAUCAGAUUGGGUAAUGGGUUCUUAAUUUAAAGCUAUGUUUUUGUAACAACUGGUGGGUGGAGUGAUGGGUUGGGUGUUCUCUGAAGUUAUUCUGGUCUUCUUGCUUCUUGCUGCUACAAUUGCUACAGUUGAACCCAAUGCUGUAAGCAAUUUCUGGAUAAUGGAGUAAAAUGAGACAAUUUUCUAGGGUUUUGAGGGUUGAAGUUUGUAUUUCUGAUACAUAUUUGAAUCUAUCCAUGCCCAUCCUCAUUUGAGUUGAAUUGUUGGACCAAAUCUCGUGUUUGUUCUUCUGGGCUUAUGUAAGUUCUGCAGAUUUCUCAGUAAAGUCCCAUUGGGUGACCACAAAUUGAAUCUUGGUCUCUGUACUAUCAUUUGGUGGGGAUAUCCUAAUUGGGAUUCUGGCUUUACUAGAUCUAUUGGGUUCUUUGCAGAAAUCAAUAAUAUUAGUUACCCUCCAAUUGGUUGCUGAGAUAACUAAGAAAUUAAUUUUUUUAAACUUAAGUCUUACCUCCUGGGUUGAUUUUGUUUCCAGAAAAAUGGAGGCAUAAGAGGAAGAGAACCCUCCUUAGCUAGACUUUAUGUUGUUUUUCAGGUUACAGACAAAAUAUUAAUGUUUCUUUUCGUAGUAAUUGUGGAUGUAGGACAUAUGUUUGAUAAUGUGUUAUAAUGAUAUUUUCAUGUUAAUUUUCUCAUCAUGAAUGCCGAUUCUCGGGUCUUAACUACCAAUAUCUAAAGUGCAAAUUCUGAUAAAAAUAAGUAUGCUAAGUAUGUUAAUCCUUCUGACAAAAAUUAUUCACUUUUACGGAUAAUUAUUUCAAUUUUCUCUUGGUUUUUCAACUAGACUAAUUGUAUGCACUUGCAGUUUUGUUUCUCCUCGGUGGUUUCUCCCAUGUCUGUUUUCCCAUUUGGCCAGGAUAUUUUCCCUUAAUUUUCUCUGUUUGUUUCUCAUGGUUAAGGAGAGCAUUGUUUAUGGUUGGGACCUCAAAGUACCAAUUUAGCUACUAGUUUGUUGUGCAUGUCUCCUAACUGCUGGAUUGGUAUUCAUCAAGUCGUAAUAAGGCAAUUGGAGUUAGGCUUUUGCUCCUCCAAAUAAUCAACCCUAUAAUGCCAUAUGUUAACCAGUAAAAGGACUACCAUAUCAGUGUACAGCAUUGUAUUCCCCAUGAACUUGGAAUUAAUUUCAUUUAAAUAUGGCUGUCAUAUAGUUGGUUAUAAUUUUGUUAUCCUUUUCAUUCUCUGUCUUUAAAUGAUAUGAGAGGCUUCUGUGUUGGUUGCAGGAAUGUUAAUGGAUCUUGUUUCUCCUUUGUUCCCUUUGGCGUUUGUGUUCAUAGUUUGCUUAAGGAGCAUAUCAAGAUUGUUCAGUAAGGUUUUGUACACUCCAAUUCAUUGUUACAAAAUGAAAAGCUACUAAGAUCUGGGAAGUGCUACUUUCUGAUUUUUAUUGCCCUAGCUCAUGUAUUUGAUUAAACUCUAUGUAUUUUGGUGAACAUGACAGGUUAAUAUGUUAAUACUGUUUGUGAUCUCAACAUUUGUUUGGUAGUCAAUACUGUCAGUGGAAUUGAAAAUAUUUCUGCUGAAUAAGAAUAAUGCACAUUGUGUUGGUGUUUCUUAUCAAAAUCUAAUUUUACACUCUUCAAAAUUAGCUGGUGUUGCAAGCAGAGCAACUAGAGCUGCAUUGACAAGGUGUGAGUAUAAGCAUUCUGAGCUGGAUGGAAAUCAUAUGAGCUUAUGAUUAAGUAACUAGUUCUAUACUUUGAUAGGAAGGAUGUCAGGAGACAGUAGAGACAAUGGUUGGUAUGGCUUUCGGAUUGCUUCUUGCUCACAUUACAAUGGGACUCUCUGUAGCUAUUUGGUUCUCUUUCCUGUCUCUCACCAUGUUUCAUAUGUAUGGACAGACCUCUUAUGUUCUGCAGAAUCUCAUUAUAAGAAAGCCAAGUAUUUGCUGCUGGAAAGGAAGGGACUCAUCAGCAUUAUUAUGCAUAAAGAUUCAACGUCUUCAUAUGUCUUGCAAUCAUUCAUUCAUGCACUUGUGAUGGCAAACCUAGUGGAUAAAAACAGAUCUAAACAUUUGGAGAGUCAAUCAUGGAUGGAUGGAUGAACACUAAGAAGUUUUUCUUCUUAAGGUAUUGUUUGGUGGAUUUUCAACUUCGAUUAUGAUGGUCAACUGCAGUAUGCUAUAAGUAUAAUGUUCUAGAAGCUGACAACAUGAUAUAAAUAUCCAUAUUCGGAUGGUCGUGACUGCUCCCAAAAUAGUGUAUUUUUGCCUAAAAGACCUAAUAAUUGGUCCAAGCAUGCUUGAAUUGGCCUAUGGAAAUUGGUUUUAGAUCUUGCAGCUUGCCAGUGGCCAUACUGAAUGUUACAUGAUUCAUAAAGGCAACCAUGUUGCCUGUUCAUACUGUGUUCUGGCGGCAGUGAUUGGUCAGUGGACAAACCUGGAAGGAGCGAUUGAAAGAAGAGCUACUAAAUGCACUAAAAAAAGAAAAGAAGAAGGAAGCCAAAACAGAUACUACUUUUUCCUCUACAGUCAUCAGGUCAAUUAUUUGGAGGGCAAAUUGGCUAUGUGGGUCUUCAGAUGAAAAGAUUGACCAGGUAAUCUCUAGUUAACAGCAUGGAUGAUGGAAUUCAUCUAAUUAUCGUGACUGGGAAAGGUGAAAUUGGCAGACAUUCUGUCUGGAAGCUAAGUGCUGUGACCAUGAAGACUAAUACUUGGUUUUGGUUCCUCGGCCAAGAGAUUAAAAUUUAUAGAUGCUCUAGUAUGAAAUUAUUACUUGAUUGACAAGCAGUUCUCGUACUAAAUUUUUAGAUGCGAAACUACAUUUUUUAUCAGAACUUUUCUAUGGUCUUUACGACAUUAACUAGUUGCCAAUCUUAGAAUGACCACAUCACAGUACAGAACAUCAUUACCAAAAACAAGUUUCUGGGCAAAAGGAUGGAAGCUUCAUUCUGCACUGUGAUAAUGGUACUUCAUAAGUAGGAGCUUGUCAACUUGGAAUUUCCAUUGUAGAGGAACAGCUGUAGAGGAGGUGAGUCUGCUAUACAAAGUAUACAACAGUCUCUUUCAGUUUUCUAAUGGAUUGAUGUAUCUAUAGCUGGUGAAACUCGAAUGCUAAACUGUAAUCCUUUUUAAUUGUAGUCUGGUUCUUGAUUUGGGAAGAGGAUGAAAGCCUCUUCAGUUAAUGAAA